UGGGGAAUUUUGGACAAUGGGCGAAAGCCUGAUCCAGCAAUGCCGCGUGUGUGAAGAAGGUCUUCGGAUUGUAAAGCACUUUAAGUUGGGAGGAAGGGCUAUUACCUAAUACGUGAUGGUUUUGACGUUACCGACAGAAUAAGCACCGGCUAACUCUGUGCCAGCAGCCGCGGUAAUACAGAGGGUGCAAGCGUUAAUCGGAAUUACUGGGCGUAAAGCGCGCGUAGGUGGUUUGUUAAGUUGGAUGUGAAAUCCCCGGGCUCAACCUGGGAACUGCAUUCAAAACUGACUGACUAGAGUAUGGUAGAGGGUGGUGGAAUUUCCUGUGUAGCGGUGAAAUGCGUAGAUAUAGGAAGGAACACCAGUGGCGAAGGCGACCACCUGGACUGAUACUGACACUGAGGUGCGAAAGCGUGGGGAGCAAACAGGAUUAGAUACCCCCGUAGUCCCUGAGCGGGCUGGCAAGGCGCAU
rnacentral:rRNA from 1 species